rnacentral:rRNA from 1 species
UAAACGACUCUCGGCAACGGAUAUCUCGGCGCUCGCAUCGAUGAAGAACGUAGCGAAAUGCGAUACUUGGUGUGAAUUGCAGAAUCCCGUGAACCAUCGAGUCUUUGAACGCAAGUUGCGCCCGAAGCCAUUAGGCCGAGGGCACGCCUGCCUGGGCGUCACAC